GAUUUAUACAGAAGCGUGGAGAGACAGGCUCUUUGAAGCGCUAGCAACCACCUCUAAUAUUAGAGAAAGGUGCUAAAUCCUGAUCCCAAAGGAUGUCGAGUGACAUUCGGGAGAAUAUAAAUU
rnacentral:ncRNA from 2 species